rnacentral:rRNA from 1 species
GAUGAACGCUGGCGGCGUGCCUAAUACAUGCAAGUCGAGCGAACAGAUAAGGAGCUUGCUCCUUUGACGUUAGCGGCGGACGGGUGAGUAACACGUGGGUAACCUACCUAUAAGACUGGAAUAACUCCGGGAAACCGGGGCUAAUGCCGGAUAACAUUUAGAACCGCAUGGUUCUAAAGUGAAAGAUGGUUUUGCUAUCACUUAUAGAUGGACCCGCGCCGUAUUAGCUAGUUGGUAAGGUAACGGCUUACCAAGGCAACGAUACGUAGCCGACCUGAGAGGGUGAUCGGCCACACUGGAACUGAGACACGGUCCAGACUCCUACGGGAGGCAGCAGUAGGGAAUCUUCCGCAGUGGGCGAAAGCCUGACGGAGCAACGCCGCGUGAGUGAUGAAGGUCUUCGGAUCGUAAAACUCUGUUAUUAGGGAAGAACAAAUGUGUAAGUAACUGUGCACGUCUUGACGGUACCUAAUCAGAAAGCCACGGCUAACUACGUG